AGUAGCUCCCCAUCUGUAGCCACAGUUCUGCUGGGGCCACAUGGGGUAGUUCCUCCUCUUGUCUCUUGCUCCAGGGUAGCUAUGGGCCCCGGCUGCUGAGAGCCCCAGAGUCUGCGUCUGUCCUUGUUGCUGGUGAGCCCUCCUGACCUCUGUGCCUGUGGUCACCUCUCCCACUGUGCUCCAAGAAGACAGACUCACCGUCCCCACAGGCACCCAGAGAGGACAGCAGAGAGCAUCUGAACCUUGCCUCCUGACUGCCUGGGACGAGCUCUCAGUGCGGCCUCGAACUUGCCACACAGCCAGGAAGAACCUCAACUCCUGAAGCUCCUGACUCCACUUCCGGGUGCUAGGAUUACAGGGGUGCAUCACCAUGGCUUAUGCUAUGCCCGGGGAUCAAACCCGGGGUGUGCACAUGCUAGACAAGCUCGAAACGGGGCUGCGCCCUGAUCCAUGGCCUCUUCAGCCUCAUUUUAAAAGUCAAUGAGGUGGCAUUUUCAUCACAGCACUCAGGAAGCUGAGGCAGGGGGAUCACAAGCUCGAGGCCUGUCUGAGUCACAGGAUCUACCACCACAGUGAAUGAAUAAACAAAUAUACAUCCUGAAA